rnacentral:ncRNA from 2 species
AACGUGCUCCGGGGUCGGUGUAAGUCCGAACCGGCGGUUAUAGUCCGCGACCCGCGCGCAGAAGCUGGCAACAGCCCACGCAACCGGUUGAAUCGGUGAAAUUCCGGUACCGACAGUUAAAGUCUGGAUGAGAGAAGCACGUA